rnacentral:rRNA from 1 species
AGCAGCCGCGGUAAUACGGAGGAUCCAAGCGUUAUCCGGAUUUAUUGGGUUUAAAGGGUGCGUAGGCGGCUUUUUAAGUCAGGGGUGAAAGACGGUGGCUCAACCAUCGCAGUGCCCUUGAUACUGAAGAGCUUGAAUACAUUAGAGGUAGGCGGAAUGUGACAAGUAGCGGCGAAAUGCAUAGAUAUGUCACAGAACACCGAUUGCGAAGGCAGCUUACUAUGAUGAGAUUGACGCUGAGGCACGAAAGCGUGGGGAUCAAACAGGAUUAGAUACCCUGGUAGUCCACGCCCUAAACGAUGAAUACUCGCUGUUAGCGAUACACAGUUAGCGGCUAAGCGAAAGCGUUAAGUAUUCCACCUGGGGAGUACGGUCGCAAGAUUGAAACUCAAAGGAAUUGACGGGGGCCCGCACAAGCGGAGGAGCAUGUGGUUUAAUUCGAUGAUACGCGAGGAACCUUACCCGGGCUUGAAAGUUAGUGAAUCAUUUAGAGAUAGAUGAGUGAGCAAUCACACGAAACUAGGUGCUGCAUGGCUGUCGUCAGCUCGUGCCGUGAGGUGUUGGGUUAAGUCCCGCAACGAGCGCAACCCCUAUGUUUAGUUGCCAGCACGUUAAGGUGGGGACUCUAAACAGACUGCCUGUGCAAACAGAGAGGAAGGAGGGGACGACGUCAAGUCAUCAUGGCCCUUACGUCCGGGGCUACACACGUGCUACAAUGGAUGGUACAGAGGGCAGCAAGCUGGCAACAGCAAGCGAAUCUCCAAAAGCCAUUCACAGUUCGGAUAGAGGUCUGCAACUCGACCUCUUGAAGUUGGAUUCGCUAGUAAUCGCAUAUCAGCAAUGAUGCGGUGAAUACGUUCCCGGGCCUUGUACACACCGCCCGUCAAGCCAUGGAAGUUGGGGGUACCUAAAGUA